rnacentral:lncRNA from 1 species
AGUGAGCAAAAUCAAAGAACUCAACCAUAAAUACAUAUAGCAAAGAAUAAGGGAAACAACACGGAUUAACAUGUGAGUACAAUAAUAGCAACAAAAAAAAAAGAAUCUUGCAUAAUAGAAAUAGAAACAAAGAGCAACCUCAUGCGUAGUAGAAAAGAAAACAUACGAGCCAAACGAGAUGAUCACACAUAAAGAAAUCAUAAAGAAUCAGAAAGAUAUUUGAAGAAACUUUUCUAGAAAACCUAAAAUCGAAAUUGAAAGAUUUUGAAAAGGAAAUUUGGGAAAACCUUUAAAAUGUCAAGUAAAGCUCAGACAUAUCACAUAUCUACAAAAAAAUAAGCAAGUAAAGAACCUCAGACUGCUUGGAGAUUUAGAGAAAACCUUAGAAAUGAGAAAAGUCUUGAGGAAAGUCGGAUCUUGAGUCGAAAAGACUCAUAUUGCUUGAACACACCAGGAUAAUGGCUAGAGAUGCCAUAGAUCUACAGAUAUGAGAAGGAUCUGAAGAGCUUGAAGUCGGGCUUUAGACCUUGAAUAGUUUAGGUCUGAUAGUGAGAAAGGA